ACAGACUCAUGCUGCAUUCUUCCAUCAGGCGCUCCAAAUAUUCCUCCGGGGGGGGGGGGCUCAGACAUGCGUGGCAUUCAGCAGACGGGCCCCCGCCCCAAUGCCGCCUGAAUGCCUCACAGAGCGCAUUCUAACCUGCAGCCAUUGAACGUCCAUCCGGUCAUGGAGGACAGUCUUCAGGACCUUUAACCUCCUUCGUGUUUUUAGGCGUUUCCUGUUUGGAAAGUUCCUUCCUGCUUCUUCUUCUUCUUCUAUGGUUUCUCUCAUAUUGACGAGUUUUUCAAAGACACUAAGCUGUUUUACGUUCACUGACAUCAACAACCUUGAGCUCUUUGACAGAUCAGAACUUCAGCAGAGAGAAGAGUCUUCACUUGUUCUUAAAGUUUCUACUCAUUCACAUUUCAUCAAAACUAGGCCUGCGAAUCAGGAGGAUUUGUUGACAUCGCAAUGGCAGUUUGUUCAAUACGCGUAUCGCAAAAGACGACCUAAACUGCGGUAAGCAGCUAAAUGUUGACGCACAAGCACAGAGGGAGAAGCCAUUGUGUUUUCAAAAUCACGCUUCCUGCAUUGUUCUGAAAUGUUGUCCGUGUUUUGGUCGGUUCUACCAGAGAGGAAGAUCCCUACUCAUUACAGGUUCUCACCUUUCCGGAAAUAACCUAUUUGUUGUCUUUUGUUUUGCUACUUGUUCAUGUAUUUCACGUCGUAUCGUCAUGGCAAUAUCGAUCACCGAUUUAUUUACAGUUUGGCCUUUAAACCAUUUUUAUUGGUCACAAAAAUGUUUCAUUUUGUCGGUUUCGGUGGCGCUUUCAGCUCUGUUCACUGUCCGUGGUGCGGCAUUGGGUCAGGUGGAGGAGCGGGUCAGCCAUUGAUCAAAGGGUCGGUGGUUCAAUCCCCCACCCCCCCUGCCUCCAGUGUGGCUCCACUGGUGAGCAUGGAUGUCCCGGUGAUGGGGGGGGGGGAGGCCACGCCUCUCUCUGUCAGUAGUCAGCGGUGGUUCCCAUCACCAGGUAUGAGUGAAUAAUAGAUGCACAGCCCCAUAAUAGAUAAUAGACAGUGUAGCCGCUUUGAGUGUCUGGAAAAGCAAAGAAACAUCCGAAUCCAUUAGUGUUAUUAGUUUUGUUCUUUCUUUAGUUAUUUAUCCACUAUUAUUAAUAAAGGAACAUAUGAUGGUGACUUUUUCAUCUUUUUGUGUGUGUCUGCAUUAAACUCAAUGUUAUCAUUCAUCUACCCAGAGUUUGAUCAAUAUCCUAAAAGGUCAUUUCGUUUUUUUUUCGACUAUUGAAAUAUGGGGGGGGGGGUCAAUAUUAGUAACAAUAUUAACAAAUGUAACUAAAUCGUCGAUACAAGCGUCUGUCAGCAUUGCUAAAAUGACUAUAUAAAUGUUUUUACACUAUAUAAAUGUUUUUACAUGACUUCUUGAGCCCCUUAAAUGCCCCCCCCCUCCCCAGACUCAUUUGUAAUCCCCCCCAAUAAAUGGUUGUGGCCCCAUCUCUGGGGCCCAAACAUCAGUCUCAUGUGAUCUACUGUUCAUCUUCAUAGACAUUUAUGAAAACACAUUUGGGACGGUCUGGUCUGAACUAGUUUGAUGCUUCUUUUCUUCCUGCAGGUCUCUGGACUCUGGUCUAACCUGAUGAACUACAGACCGGGCUGAACCUGAAGGUCAGCUCCUGGAGGAGACCUGCAGGUGUUGGCACAGGUGCAGCUCCUGGAGGAGACCUGCAGGUGUUGGCACAGGUGCAGCUCCUGGAGGACACCUGCAGGUGUUGGCACAGGUGCAGCUCCUGGAGGAGACCUGCAGGUGUUGGCACAGGUGCAGCUCCUGGAGGAGACCUGCAGGUGUUGGCACAGGUGCAGCUCCUGGAGGACACCCACAGGUGUUGGCACAGGUGCAGCUCCUGGAGGAGUUCAGGCCUCCUGACUGUCAGGAUCCAGAUUGGAACCAUGAAGGAGGAAACACGAGAAAAGAGGAGGUGUAGCUUCAGAACUGAUGGUCUUCAGCCUCCAAUGCCCUGCUGGAUCUGAAUCAGCUGAUCAGCCACGGGUGGGGGCGGGGAGGGGGGUGACUUGGCGCUGCUGGAAGGGGUCAGGUCGAUGGGUGGGGUCAGUCAGCGCACCUGUGUGGGGUGACCUACCGUAGUAGGUCUGGUCGGUGGGUCGCGCUACGGAUGGACCCUCUGAGAGUCAUAAAACGGCCCCGCUGCCUGGCUUCACGGGACACCAAGGGCGCGUCAGCCGCCCGUGAUCAUCCGGCCGCCUUACCUGGGACACAUACCGGCUCAGAAAACAACCAUUCACAGAAAUACAAGAAGAUGAUUUCCGAUUUCAAAGCGAGAGACCCAUAUUUACCACGGCACUGGAACUCUGCAUCAGAGGACCAAACACAGAGCAGAGCGCACCUAUGACGUCAUUCUGUCCGACCUGAACUACGACCCGAACAUCCACUCCAACAAGGCUUCUUCGACGGUUGCCCUGGUAACGCUGCUGCGUCUCCAUGAGGAGGCAUCUGCAUGCUGCUUCCUUUUCUUUGCCUUUUAGCUGCUCCCUUCAAGCGACAACCACAGGGAAUCUUCUGUCUUCAUCUAGUCCUGUCCUCUGAGUCCUUCUCUCUUGCUCCAGUCCCCCUCAGGUCCUCCUUCUCUGCAUCUGUGAACCUCCUCCUCAGCUCCAGAGAUUGUGAGAUUGUGCUCCCUUGUGGUUACAUUAUUCAUAAUUUUCUCACAUUGCUAUUUAUUAACUAUCAUACUUUUUUAUUUAUUUAAGAACUUUAUUAAAGGACAGAAUAGUAACAGUAUUUACUAAAAGUGAUGAGCCACAAUGAUAUUUUCAAUUAAGAAACACCAUCACUAAUAUUUUUUUACAAUAAAAAAGAUUGUGCUUGCUAAAAGCUCAAAUAAAUUAAAUUUGAUAUUCAUGACAAAAUCAGAUCCAAUUUUACAGAUAAAAGCAAAAAGCUUCAUCUGCUUUCAAGCAGUCAUUGCACAAUAAAGAUCUGAUAUGAGUGGUCUUUGUUCUGUCAUCGUUUCCUCGCCGUCCUUUCAUGCGGAUCCUCGCCGCCUCGGGAGCUAACAGUCCCACUUAUGUGUGCCAAUUUAUAAUUUAUAGAUCACUGCAAGCAGUGAGACUCAAAACAGGUGAGUCAGAACAACACAGGAGGGCAAAAACAGCUUUCCUACUUAAUUCUGCUGCAUCGUCUGUGAUGGUUGAUCAGUGGCAGCGAGCAGAAGUCUGGAGACCGGAGGAAGACAAGGAACUAACGGAAACAGGAUCAGACGGACUUCAAGUCUGUGAGCUGAACUGAAAGUUUUCUCCUGGGUUAGCAGGAAAAACCAGGACUAUGACAAUCAGCAAUAAUCAAAUAUUUUCUAACAGACAUCUUAAGUGAGCCUGUUGCUCUCUUUAGAUGUUUUUAUUGACUGUUUUAUUUCCAUUGGGAUUUAAAUCCCUGUCAUAUACAAAGGCUUUAGUUUUAUCUGUGCAGUGUCAUUGAGUGAUGCCAAAACCCUUCUAAUUAAAAGCAUUGUAAGUCUAGAAUCCAGAUUUUCCUGAUCCUAAAUCUUGUCAGAGUGUCUUCUUUGUCCUGUUGUUUGUCUCCUCGCUCAACUUGUCAGAAAUCAGUAAAUGAGCUCAGUGAGUGGA